GAUGAACGCUAGCGGCAGGCUUAACACAUGCAAGUCGAGGGGUAACAGGGGAGCUUGCUUCCGCUGACGACCGGCGCACGGGUGAGUAUCGCGUAUAGAACCUACCUUUUACAGGGGAAUAGCCCAGGGAAACUUGGAUUAAUGCCCCAUAGUAUAUAGACUUCUCCUGAAGUUUAUAUUAAACAUUUAUGGCUAUUAGAUGGGUAUGCGUCCUAUUAGUUAGUUGGUAAGGUAACGGCUUACCAAGGCAGCGAUAGGUAGGGGUCCUGAGAGGGAGAUCCCCACACUGGUACUGAGACACGGACCAGACUCCUACGGGAGGCAGCAGUGAGGAAUAUUGGACAAUGGGCGAGAGCCUGAUCCAGCCAUGCCGCAUGCAGGAAGACUGCCCUAUGGGUUGUAAACUGCUUUUACAGAGGAAGAACCACCCCCACGUGUGGGGGUUUGACGGUACUCUGCGAAUAAGGAUCGGCUAACUCCGUG
rnacentral:rRNA from 1 species